CUCCCCGCGAUUUAUAUUGAUUGAGUCUACAACGUUCUCAAAGAUUCAGCCAAUGAGAGGUAGCAAUGGUGUUGCAAUGGCACCUGGGUAAACAAAUGACAAGGCGGUACCGUCGAAUAUGCGCGCUUUCUCUGUCUGACGUAUCUUGGGUCAUACCAUUCGACGUGGGGCCACUCAUAUAUCCCCCUACAUUUUUUCAGGAGUCUUUGCUCCAUUCUACGUCAAUUUAAGAACAAACAAAGAAAUUAAACUGCAGUUCGUAUUUUUUAUUUAUGACCAUGAAAGUUCUGUAAUGCCUGAAU
rnacentral:lncRNA from 1 species